rnacentral:lncRNA from 1 species
CCCCUAUUACAGUAUAAACUUUUGGUGAAUAGGGAUUUUCAAAUUAAUUAAAGCGCUUAUUUUUAUACCCAAUACACACAAAUACAGAACUUUACUAUAGCAGAUUUUUGACCCCAAUUUAGUGUGCUAUCUGAAUAAAAGGCUUAGUAACUAAAAAAAGUGCUGUCUUAGAUUUCUGAACUAUUUUUUUUUUUUUUUUUUUUUUUUGGAGACAGAGUCUUGCUCUGUCACCCACACCAGAAUGCAGUGGCACCAUCAUGGCUCCCUGCAGCUUUGACCUCCUGGGUUCAAACGAUUUUCUCAUCUCAGCCUCCCCAGUAGCUGGGACUACAGAUGCGCACCACCACACCUGGCUAAUGUUAAUUUUCUGUGGAGACAGGGUCUUGUCAUGUUGCCCAGACUGGUCUUGAACUCCGGAGCUCAAGCGAUCCUCUUGCCUCGGCCUUCCAACAUGCUGGGAUUACAGGCGUGAGCCAGCAUGCCUGGCUGAAACUAUUUUUACAGAGAACUUAGGUGGUGAUAUGGUUUGGCUCUGUCCCCACCCAAAUCUCAUCUUGAAUUAUAGCUCCCAUAAUCCCCACCUGUCACGGGAGGGACCUGAUGGGAGGUAAUUGAAUCAUGGGGGUGGGUUUUCCCAUGCUGUUCUUGUCCAUAGUGAGUAUGUCUCGGAAGAGCUAAUGGUUUUAUAAAAGGGAGUUCCCCUGUGCAAGCUCUCUUGCCUGCUGCCAUAUAAGAUGUGCCUUUUCUCCUCCUUUGCUGUCCACCAUGAUUGUGAGGCCUCCCCAGGCAUGUGAGACUGAGUCCAUUCAACUUCUUUUUCUUUAUAAAUUACCCAGUCUCAGGCAUGUCCUUCUAGCAGUGUGAGAAUGGACUAAUACAGAUGGCCUUAUCCUGUUUUUCCACAGAGCUAUCUGAGGUACUAUAUAAUCAUCAAAAAGAAUAAGGCAAUUCUAUAGGUAUUAAUGUAGGAUUAGAGCUAAAAUACUAUGCUGAGAAAAAAGUAAGCUACAACAGUUUGUUUCCAUCUAUUAAAAAUGAGGAUGGGGAUAUAUAUGUAUGUAUGAGUAAAUGAUUGGACAGCUUAAAUUAUUUUUGAGAGAAUAUUCAAUAAAACAGUAAAAAUAGCUGUUUCUGGGAAAGGAAAAUGGGUAAUUAGGGCUACAGCUGGAAAAAAGUAACAUUUUACUUCUAGUUGUUUUUUUUUUUUUUUUUUUUUUUUUUUUUUUUUUUUUUUACAAAUCACCUAUAUGUAUUAGCUUUCAAAAGAUUUAAAAAUUAAAAAUACUAGAUUGUCAGCGUCUGAAGUGAUAAAAUACUUUAUGCUGGUGCCUCCUCAGUAACAGACAUUCAAAACUACAGUCAGCCCUCAGUGUUCAUGUGGUCUGAAUCCAACCACAGAUAGAAAAUAUUUGAAAAAACUUUUUUUGGUGGGGCACAGUGGCUCACACCUGUCAUCCUAGCACUUUGGGAGGCUGAGGUGGAGGACUGCUUGAGCCCAGGAGGUUGAGGCUGCAAUGAGCUGUGACUGUGCCUCUGCACUGUAGCCUGGUGACAGAGUGAGACCCUGUCUCAAAUAAACAAUGUUUAAAACACAGACACACACGGUAUAACAGCUAUUUAUGCAGCAUUUAUGUUGUGCUAGGUAUCUGUAACCUGGAGAUGAUUUAAAGGGUAAGGAAAGAUGUGUGCAGGUUCUAUGCAAAUAUUAUACCACUGUAUAGCAGGGACUUGAGCAUCUGUGAAUUUUGUAUCCUCAGGGGUGGGGGGAGGGGGUCCUGGAACCAAUCUCCCUUGGAUACCAAGGGACGACUGCACUUCACUGACCUUGUUGAAAGCAACUGACAUCACACACACCAAUGAGUGCAUGUAAAAGCAGUAAAAUUGGAAUAGGUUCUGUGGCUAGGGGAAGCUCAACGGUACUUUGUCAGCUGUGAUGCUGCUCUACAGUGAUGGGGGAUGCUACCACUGGGGAAACUGAAGGGCACGCAGGCCUCCCUGUACGUUCUGUUGCAACUUUCUCUGAGUCUGUAAUUAUUUCUAAAUAAAAGGCUAAAACAAAACCACAACUAUGCCAUGUAAAGGCUCACAUGUAAAUCUAUGUUCUAACUAUGGUGCUGCUCUAACCCCCCCAAUCUGAGUCAUGCCUUUCCUUGCCUAUUUCCCCAUCUAUAAUUGAGGGCGGGCGACAGCCUUCCAGAGUAAAUUAAGUC